rnacentral:misc_RNA from 1 species
GUUUCCUGCCCGUAACUCAGCCACUGAACUCGGAGGCAGUUUACUGACUCUGUCCCCGUUGGAAACGAGUCCACAGCCAUGGGUGACCCAGAACAUGAACAACACCAAGAGCAGAAAGAGUUCGCUGAUGGAGGAAAGAGAAAGCUUGAUGCUUUCGAACUUGCCAAACAGAGAGCUCAAGAAAUAGCCUCGAGAAUCGCUAGUGACGCUGACCAGAAACGCCCUCGACUCCUCUCCGAAAACUCGUCCGAGCCUUCAUUGUUCUCAAGUUCGGUGUCUGCCCCCCCCUCUUUCCC